rnacentral:lncRNA from 1 species
AGGAAGAGCUCACGGCCUCACUGUCACUGGGAAUGGCUGUUGUUCUCAUCAGGGGAACUCUGAUCUUCAUUAUGAGCGUCACUUCCCGGCUCCAAUGUAGAUCCCUCAGUCUGGUGGGACAAAUCUUCACCCCACUGGUACAGGUUUUCUGGCUUCCACCACUGGCCUUUGGGCCUUCUGGUUGCAGAUCCUCAAUACAGACAAGCUUGAGACAUUGCCAUGGGCUCUAGGCCUCUGGCUGGACUCGUGCAGGACGUUGCUUUGGACUCUAGGUCUUCAGCUAGACUUGUGUGAGACACUGCUGUGGGAUCCAGGACCUUGGCCGGAUUCUUUGGGUUUCUAAUGUGUGUCUAAUCUCUUUCACUCCUCUGAAUUUGACAUUUUCGCAAUGAGGAAGUAAUCAAGACACCUGCCUUGAGCUCUUUCUCCUCUGCAUCACCCCUCUGCCCUGCUGACCUGACUUGGAAACAGCCAACUAUGAACUGAAACCUCUACAAACUGUGAGCCAAAAUAAACCUCUCCUCCUUCAAUUUGUGGGUGUCCCGUAUUGCGUCCCAGCAAUGACAAGGAUCUCACUAUGCAGUUCAGGCUAGCAUUGAAGUCACUAUGUAUCCUAGACUGAUCUCAAACUCGAGGUGAUCUUCCUGCCUCAGCUUCCCUAGUGCUGGGACUACAGAUGGAGAAUUUUGGUGGGUCAAGAGCCCCAAACUCACAAAAAAAUAACUGGAUCUAAAACAUGAGAGCAUAUUGAGCACCUACUCUUCAUGAGCACCUACUCUUUACUCAAGAUUCAAUCAUGGCCGAAAUUGGAAGACAAGCAUGUCUAGUUUAGAUGCUUUUCAAAUCACACCAAGAGAAUUAAGAAUGUCUGGUGCCUGGAGCUUGGCAAAAU